rnacentral:lncRNA from 1 species
GUGGUCUUCUCUAGACUAGGGUGGGGGCUGUGGGAAUAGAGAGGAAAGGCAGAAUGCAAGAUUUUAAGCAGCGUUUUAUAACUUAAUGGAUAUGCAUCAGAAUUACCCAGGCAAGAGGAAGAUUUUGUUCUCAGAAAGCAGAGGCCAAUGGAAAAAGCUCAGUUUAGGCACAUCUGACCACUUUAGGAUUGCAAGUUGGGUUUCCCUAAAGUAAAAUGAACUUUUCACUUGGUUGGUAGGUGUAAGAUGUGACCAGUAAUGAAUGUGUUCUGAGUUAGCUGCACAUUUACCUGUUGGAUGUUAUCUGUAUUUGCAGUUGUGUACUGUCAGCUAUGGAAAAGUCAAGCUGGUCUUGAAGCACAACAGAUACUUCGUUGAAAGUUGCCACCCUGAUGUAAUCCAGCAUCUUCUCCAGGACCCCGUGAUCCGAGAAUGCCGCUUAAGAAACUCUGAAGGGGAGGCCACUGAGCUCAUCACAGAGACUUUCACAAGCAAAUCUGCCGUAUGUGGACUCCUGGGCCACCCUUGGGUGGGGGCAGGCAUUUAGGAUUUCAGUUCUCUCAGGUGUCUUUAACCCAGCACUUACAACCUAGCAGCCCUGCUGGUUCUACCCUUUACAACUUCACCCAUUGCUUGAUAACAGCAGAAUUAAAUGUUGUGUGCACGUUCAGCACCUACCUCUCUCACAGAUUUCUAAGACUGCUGAAAGCAGUGGUGGGCCCUCCACUUCCCGAGUGACAGAUCCACAGGGUAAAUCUGACAUCCCCAUGGACCUGUUUGACUUCUAUGAGCAAAUGGACAAGGAUGAAGAAGAA